rnacentral:rRNA from 1 species
AUCGGAUGAGCCUUUACGUUUUAGCACGCAGGAUAGUCGAACGGAAUGGAAAGUCCGGCCGUAGCAGGUGAUAGCCCUGUAGACGAAAUUCUGUGUGUGGAACUAAGCGUAAGACAAGUAGGGCGGGACACGUGAAAUCCUGUUUGAAGAUGGGGGGACCAUCCUCCAAGGCUAAAUACUCGUGAUCGACCGAUAGUGAACCAGUACCGUGAGGGAAAGGCGAAAAGAACCCCGGAAGGGGAGUGAAAUAGAUCCUGAAACCGUAUGCAUACAAACAGUAGGAGCCUCCUUGUGGGGUGACUGCGUACCUUUUGUAUAAUGGGUCAGCGACUUACAUUCAGUGGCAAGGUUAACCGAAUAGGGAAGCCGUAGCGAAAGCGAGUCCGAAUAGGGCGAUUUAGUCGCUGGGUGUAGACCCGAAACCAGAUGAUCUAUCCAUGGCCAGGUUGAAGGCACGGUAACACGUGCUGGAGGACCGAACCCACUAAUGUUGAAAAAUUAGGGGAUGAGCUGUGGAUAGGGGUGAAAGGCUAAACAAAUCUGGAAAUAGCUGGUUCUCUCCGAAAACUAUUUAGGUAGUGCCUCAAGUAUUACUGCGGGGGGUAGAGCACUGUUAUAGCUAGGGGGUCAUGGCGACUUACCAAACUAUGGCAAACUCCGAAUACCCGCAAGUACAGCUUGGGAGACAGAGCACCGGGUGCUAACGUCCGGACUCAAGAGGGAAACAACCCAGACCGCCAGCUAAGGUCCCGAAUUAUCGCUAAGUGGGAAACGAAGUGGGAAGGCAUAGACAGUCAGGAGGUUGGCUUAGAAGCAGCCAUCCUUUAAAGAAAGCGUAAUAGCUCACUGA